rnacentral:rRNA from 1 species
UUAAGCGACUAAGCGUACACGGUGGAUGCCCUGGCAGUCAGAGGCGAUGAAGGACGUGCUAAUCUGCGAAAAGCGUCGGUAAGGUGAUAUGAACCGUUAUAGCCGGCGAUGUCCGAAUGGGGAAACCCAGUGCAAUUCGUUGCACUAUCGUUAACUGAAUACAUAGGUUAACGAGGCGAACCGGGGGAACUGAAACAUCUAAGUACCCCGAGGAAAAGAAAUCAACCGAGAUUCCCCCAGUAGCGGCGAGCGAACGGGGAGCAGCCCAGAGUCUGAAUCAGCUUGUGUGUUAGUGGAACGGUCUGGAAAGUCCGACGGUACAGGGUGAUAGUCCCGUACACCAAAAUGCACAGGCUGUGAACUCGAAGAGUAGGGCGGGACACGUGGUAUCCUGUCUGAAUAUGGGGGGACCAUCCUCCAAGGCUAAAUACUCCUGACUGACCGAUAGUGAACCAGUACCGUGAGGGAAAGGCGAAAAGAACCCCGGCGAGGGGAGUGAAAAAGAACCUGAAACCGUGUACGUACAAGCAGUGGGAGCACCUUCGGGUGUGACUGCGUACCUUUUGUAUAAUGGGUCAGCGACUUAUAUUCUGUAGCAAGGUUAACCGUAUAGGGGAGCCGCAGGGAAACCGAGUCUUAACUGGGCGUUAAGUUGCAGGGUAUAGACCCGAAACCCGGUGAUCUAGCCAUGGGCAGGUUGAAGGUUGGGUAACACUAACUGGAGGACCGAACCGACUAAUGUUGAAAAAUUAGCGGAUGACUUGUGGCUGGGGGUGAAAGGCCAAUCAAACCGGGAGAUAGCUGGUUCUCCCCGAAAGCUAUUUAGGUAGCGCCUCGUGAACUCAUCUUCGGGGGUAGAGCACUGUUUCGGCUAGGGGGUCAUCCCGACUUACCAACCCGAUGCAAACUACGAAUACCGAAGAAUGUUAUCACGGGAGACACACGGCGGGUGCUAACGUCCGUCGUGAAGAGGGAAACAACCCAGACCGCCAGCUAAGGUCCCAAAGUCAUGGUUAAGUGGGAAACGAUGUGGGAAGGCACAGACAGCCAGGAUGUUGGCUUAGAAGCAGCCAUCAUUUAAAGAAAGCGUAAUAGCUCACUGGUCGAGUCGGCCUGCGCGGAAGAUGUAACGGGGCUAAACCAUGCACCGAAGCUGCGGCAGCGACACUAUGUGUUGUUGGGUAGGGGAGCGUUCUGUAAGCCUGCGAAGGUGUGCUGUGAGGCAUGCUGGAGGUAUCAGAAGUGCGAAUGCUGACAUAAGUAACGAUAAAGCGGGUGAAAAGCCCGCUCGCCGGAAGACCAAGGGUUCCUGUCCAACGUUAAUCGGGGCAGGGUGAGUCGACCCCUAAGGCGAGGCCGAAAGGCGUAGUCGAUGGGAAACAGGUUAAUAUUCCUGUACUUGGUGUUACUGCGAAGGGGGGACGGAGAAGGCUAUGUUAGCCGGGCGACGGUUGUCCCGGUUUAAGCAUGUAGGCUGGUUGUCCAGGCAAAUCCGGAUAAUCAAGGCUGAGGUGUGAUGACGAGGCACUACGGUGCUGAAGUAACAAAUGCCCUGCUUCCAGGAAAAGCCUCUAAGCAUCAGGUAACAUCAAAUCGUACCCCAAACCGACACAGGUGGUCAGGUAGAGAAUACCAAGGCGCUUGAGAGAACUCGGGUGAAGGAACUAGGCAAAAUGGUGCCGUAACUUCGGGAGAAGGCACGCUGGUGUGUAGGUGAAGUCCCUGCGGAUGGAGCUGAGACCAGUCGAAGAUACCAGCUGGCUGCAACUGUUUAUUAAAAACACAGCACUGUGCAAACACGAAAGUGGACGUAUACGGUGUGACGCCUGCCCGGUGCCGGAAGGUUAAUUGAUGGGGUUAUCCGUAAGGAGAAGCUCUUGAUCGAAGCCCCGGUAAACGGCGGCCGUAACUAUAACGGUCCUAAGGUAGCGAAAUUCCUUGUCGGGUAAGUUCCGACCUGCACGAAUGGCGUAAUGAUGGCCAGGCUGUCUCCACCCGAGACUCAGUGAAAUUGAACUCGCUGUGAAGAUGCAGUGUACCCGCGGCAAGACGGAAAGACCCCGUGAACCUUUACUAUAGCUUGACACUGAACAUUGAGCCUUGAUGUGUAGGAUAGGUGGGAGGCUUUGAAGCGUGGACGCCAGUCUGCGUGGAGCCAACCUUGAAAUACCACCCUUUAAUGUUUGAUGUUCUAACGUUGGCCCCUUACCGGGGUUGCGGACAGUGUCUGGUGGGUAGUUUGACUGGGGCGGUCUCCUCCCAAAGCGUAACGGAGGAGCACGAAGGUUAGCUAAUCCUGGUCGGACAUCAGGAGGUUAGUGCAAUGGCAUAAGCUAGCUUGACUGCGAGCGUGACGGCGCGAGCAGGUGCGAAAGCAGGUCAUAGUGAUCCGGUGGUUCUGAAUGGAAGGGCCAUCGCUCAACGGAUAAAAGGUACUCCGGGGAUAACAGGCUGAUACCGCCCAAGAGUUCAUAUCGACGGCGGUGUUUGGCACCUCGAUGUCGGCUCAUCACAUCCUGGGGCUGAAGUAGGUCCCAAGGGUAUGGCUGUUCGCCAUUUAAAGUGGUACGCGAGCUGGGUUUAGAACGUCGUGAGACAGUUCGGUCCCUAUCUGCCGUGGGCGCUGGAGAAUUGAGGGGGGCUGCUCCUAGUACGAGAGGACCGGAGUGGACGCAUCACUGGUGUUCGGGUUGUCAUGCCAAUGGCACUGCCCGGUAGCUAAAUGCGGAAGAGAUAAGUGCUGAAAGCAUCUAAGCACGAAACUUGCCCCGAGAUGAGUUCUCCCUGAGACUUUAAGUCUCCUGAAGGAACGUUGAAGACGACGACGUUGAUAGGCCGGGUGUGUAAGCGCAGCGAUGCGUUGAGCUAACCGGUACUAAUGAACCGUGAGGCUUAACCUU